UACCAGCACCCCGAGUGGUCGGGACGUUUUAUUGGGCCUAAAGCAUCCGUAGCCGGUUCUACAAGUCUUCCGUUAAAUCCACCUGCUUAACAGAUGGGCUGCGGAAGAUACUAUGGAGCUAGGAGGCGGGAGAGGCAAGCGGUACUCAUGGGUAGGGGUAAAAAUCCGUUGAUCCAUUGAAGACCACCAGUGGCGAAGGCGGCUUGCCAGAACGCGCUCGACGGUGAGGGAUGAAAAGCUGGGGGGAGCAAACCGG
rnacentral:rRNA from 1 species